UAAAGAAAGCGUAAUAGCUCACUGGUCGAGUCGGCCUGCGCGGAAGAUGUAACGGGGCUAAACCAUGCACCGAAGCUGCGGCAGCGACACUAUGUGUUGUUGGGUAGGGGAGCGUUCUGUAAGCCUGUGAAGGUGUACUGUGAGGUAUGCUGGAGGUAUCAGAAGUGCGAAUGCUGACAUAAGUAACGAUAAAGCGGGUGAAAAGCCCGCUCGCCGGAAGACCAAGGGUUCCUGUCCAACGUUAAUCGGGGCAGG
rnacentral:rRNA from 1 species